rnacentral:rRNA from 1 species
UACGAAGGGGGCUAGCGUUGCUCGGAAUUACUGGGCGUAAAGGGAGCGUAGGCGGACAGUUUAGUCAGAGGUGAAAGCCCAGGGCUCAACCUUGGAAUUGCCUUUGAUACUGGCUAUCUUGAGUUCGGGAGAGGUGAGUGGAAUGCCGAGUGUAGAGGUGAAAUUCGUAGAUAUUCGGCGGAACACCAGUGGCGAAGGCGACUCACUGGCCCGAUACUGACGCUGAGGCGCGAAAGCGUGGGGAGCAAACAGG